rnacentral:rRNA from 1 species
UUGUGUGAAUACAUAGCACAUUCGAGGUAGACGCAGAGAACUGAAACAUCUAAGUACCUGCAGGAAGAGAAAGAAAAUUCGAUUCCCUGAGUAGCGGCGAGCGAAACGGGAAAAGCCCAAACCAGCAAGCUUGCUUGUUGGGGUUGUAGGACUCCAAUAUGGUAGUUCUUUCAGAUAGUCGAAUGACUUGGAAAAGUCAGUCAAAGAGGGUAAAAACCCCGUAGACGAAAUGUGGAAGACACCUAGGAGGAUCCUGAGUACGGCGGAACACGAGAAAUUCCGUCGGAAUCCGGGAGGACCAUCUCCCAAGGCUAAAUACUCCCUAGUGACCGAUAGUGAACCAGUACCGUGAGGGAAAGGUGAAAAGCACCCCGGAAGGGGAGUGAAAUAGAACCUGAAACCGUGUGCCUACAACAAGUCAAAGCCCGUUAAUGGGUGAUGGCGUGCCUUUUGUAGAAUGAACCGGCGAGUUACGAUUGCAUGCGAGGUUAAGUUGAAGAGACGGAGCCGCAGCGAAAGCGAGUCUGAAUAGGGCGUUUGAGUAUGUAGUCGUAGACCCGAAACCAUGUGAUCUACCCAUGUCCAGGUUGAAGGUGCGGUAAAACGCACUGGAGGACCGAACCCACGUACGUUGAAAAGUGCGGGGAUGAGGUGUGGGUAGCGGAGAAAUUCCAAACGAACUUGGAGAUAGCUGGUUCUCUCCGAAAUAGCUUUAGGGCUAGCCUCGGAAUUGAGAAUGAUGGAGGUAGAGCACUGUUUGGACUAGGGGCCC